UAGCCAUGCUAGUCGUACGAGUUCAUACUCGUGGCAUAUAGCUCAGUAACACGUGGCCAAACUACCCUAUGGACAGCGAUACUCUCGGGAAACUGAGGCUAAUCGCUGAUACAGCUUCCAUGCUGGAACUGCAGGAAGCUGGAAACGCCCCGGCGCCAUAGGAUGUGGCUGCGGCCGAUUAGGUAGGCGGUGGGGUAACGGCCCACCGUGCCAGUAAUCGGUACGGGUGAUGAGAGUCAGCGCCCGGAGACGGUAUCUGAGACAAGAUACCGGGCCCUACGGGGCGCAGCAGGCGCGAAACCUUUACACUGCACGCCAGUGCGAUAAGGGAAUCCCAAGUGCACAGGCAUAGAGCCUGUGCUUUUCUGAACCGUAGGGAGGUUCAGGAACAAGGGCUGGGCAAGACCGGUGCCAGCCGCCGCGGUAAUACCGGCAGCCCAAGUGAUGGCCGAUUUUAUUGGGCCUAAAGCGUCCGUAGCUGGCCGCGCAAGUCUAUCGGGAAAUCUAUCCGCUCAACGGAUAGACGCCCGGUGGAAACUGCGUGGCUUGGGACCGGAAGGCGCGAAGGGUACGUCCGGGGUAGGAGUGAAAUCCAGUAAUCCUGGACGGACCGCCGAUGGCGAAAGCACUUCGCGAGGACGGAUCCGACAGUGAGGGACGAAAGCUAGGGUCUCGAACCGGAUUAGAUACCCGGGUAGUCCUAGCCGUAAACGAUGCCUGUUAGGUGUGGCUCCCACUACGAGUGGGUGCUGUGCCGUAGGGAAGCCGCUAAACAGGCCGCCUGGGAAGUACGUCCGCAAGGUAGAAAUC
rnacentral:rRNA from 1 species